UACAGAGGUGGCAAGCGUUGUUCGGAAUUACUGGGCGUAAAGGGCGCGUAGGCGGUUCGUUAAGUCCUGUGUGAAAUCCCCCGGCUCAACUGGGGAACUGCACAGGAAACUAGCGGGCUUGAGUACGGGAGAGGGAAGCGGAAUUCCGGGUGUAGCGGUGAAAUGCGUAGAUAUCCGGAGGAACACCGGUGGCGAAGGCGGCUUCCUGGACCGUCACUGACGCUGAGGCGCGAAAGCUAGGGGAGCAAACGGG
rnacentral:rRNA from 1 species